rnacentral:misc_RNA from 1 species
GAGAUUUUUGAGGCAAUUGCAAAAACUGCGAAGAAAAAGAGUAAAAAGGCUUCUACUUAACCAUAUUAUACUACAGUUUAUGGAGGAAGGCAGCAAGAAUGUUUAUUUUUGCUUCGUGAUUAUAUUUAUGAUUAUUCAUUGCUGCAAGUAAGUCAAUCUGAGGUGCAGUUUGUAUCAGAAAAACAAAAAAAGAGCAAACAAGCUGGGACGACAAUGUCUAUUCUGGCAAUUUGUAAUCUCCUUCAACCUGGGCAGUAGUUGCAUUGUAAAAUUUAUGACGGUAAAACAUCUCACGUCUCUAAGAAUCUGACGAGCUUUGUUGAUUGAUUUUUUAUCUUCAAUUAGCAGUUGCACCAGAUGAAUGGG